UAUAGUCAAGUAAUUUAAGUGCAUGUGGUGGAUCUUGGCAGUUCAGAGGCGAUGAAAGACGUGAUAGCCUGCGAAAAGCUCCGGGGAGGCGGCAAAUAUCCUUUGAUCCGGAGAUGUCUGAAUGGGGGAACCCACCUACUUUAAGGUAGGUAUUGCAACAUGAAUACAUAGUGUUGCAAGGCGAACGAGGGGAAGUGAAACAUCUCAGUACCCUUAGGAAAAGAAAUCAAUUGAGAUUCCCUCAGUAGCGGCGAGCGAACGGGGAUCAGCCCAUUAAGUUAUGUGUGUUUUAGUGGAACGCUCUGGGAAGUGCGAACGUAGAGGGUGAUAUUCCCGUACACGAAAGGGCACACAUAAUGAUGACGAGUAGGGCGAGGCACGUGAAACCUUGUCUGAAUAUGGGGGGACCAUCCUCCAAGGCUAAAUACUCCUGACUGACCGAUAGUGAACCAGUACCGUGAGGGAAAGGCGAAAAGAACCCCUGUGAGGGGAGUGAAAUAGAUCCUGAAACCGCAUGCAUACAAGCAGUGGGAGCACCUUCGUGGUGUGACUGCGUACCUUUUGUAUAAUGGGUCAGCGACUUAUAUUCAGUAGCAAGGUUAACCGUAUAGGGGAGCCGUAGAGAAAUCGAGUCUUAAUAGGGCGUUUAGUUGCUGGGUAUAGACCCGAAACCAGGCGAUCUAUCCAUGAGCAGGUUGAAGGUUGGGUAACACUAACUGGAGGACCGAACCCACUGUCGUUGAAAAGCCAGGGGAUGACUUGUGGAUAGGGGUGAAAGGCUAAUCAAGCCUGGUGAUAGCUGGUUCUCCCCGAAAGCUAUUUAGGUAGCGCCUCGGACGAAUACCAUAGGGGGUAGAGCACUGUUUCGGCUAGGGGGUCAUCCCGACUUACCAAACCGAUGCAAACUCCGAAUACCUAUGAGUACUAUCCGGGAGACAGACUGCGGGUGCUAACGUCCGUAGUCAAGAGGAAAACAAUCCAGACCGCCAGCUAAGGCCCCAAAAUCAUAGUUAAGUGGGAAACGAUGUGGGAAGGCAUAGACAGCUAGGAGGUUGGCUUAGAAGCAGCCACCCUUUAAAGAAAGCGUAAUAGCUCACUAGUCGAGUCGGCCUGCGCGGAAGAUGUAACGGGGCUAAAACUAUGUGCCGAAGCUGCGGAUGUAUACUUUGUAUACGUGGUAGGGGAGCGUUCUGUAAGCCGAUGAAGGUGUGUUGAGAAGCAUGCUGGAGGUAUCAGAAGUGCGAAUGCUGACGUGAGUAACGACAAAACGGGUGAAAAACCCGUUCGCCGAAAGACCAAGGGUUCCAGUCCAACGUUAAUCGGGGCUGGGUGAGUCGACCCCUAAGGCGAGGCCGAAAGGCGUAGUCGAUGGGAAAAUGGUUAAUAUUCCAUUACUUCUGUGUAAUGCGAUGAGAGGACGGAGAAGGCUAAAUCAGCCUGGCGUUGGUUGUCCAGGUGAAAGGAUGUAGGCAUGUAUCUUAGGCAAAUCCGGGGUACUCUAUGCUGAGAUCUGAUAGCAAGCUGUACUUGUACAGCGAAGUGGUUGAUGCCAUGCUUCCAGGAAAGGGGGGAGAUUUUUCUUCCAGGAAAAGCCUCUAAGCUUCAGUUACACAGGAAUCGUACCCGAAACCGACACAGGUGGUCAG
rnacentral:rRNA from 1 species